rnacentral:rRNA from 1 species
UCCUACGGGGCGCAGCAGUGGGGAAUAUUGCGCAAUGGGGGAAACCCUGACGCAGCAACGCCGCGUGAGUGAGGAAGUAUCUCGGUAUGUAAAGCUCUAUCAGCGGGGAAGAAGGAAGACGGUACCCGACUAAGAAGCCCCGGCUAACUACGUGCCAGCAGCCGCGGUAAUACGUAGGGGGCGAGCGUUAUCCGGAUUUACUGGGUGUAAAGGGAGCGUAGACGGCAGAGCAAGUCUGAAGUGAAAGCCCGCGGCCCAACUGCGGGACUGCUUUGGAAACUGCCCGGCUAGAGUGCUGGCGAGGU